rnacentral:lncRNA from 1 species
AAUUCUGGAAUUUAGUGGCGAACAACCAAUAUGGUAUCAAACAUCGAUUGACUUGUGCUAUGUUUAAACAUGCAGCCCCUAGGUCGUUCUUCUCCCUCUCUUCGUUCCGGAGCAAGGGAAGUGAGUCGAAGCCCAGAUGACUACCUAUACAAGAAGCCAGAGCAAGUUUCCAGGAAUUACAGUAAAAUGUUAUGAAUAUCACACGUAAAUAACCUGUACAAGAAGCCAGAGCAAGUUUCCAGGAGACCCAGUUGAUACGAAUUAUAUCGAUGGCGUUUGGUUAUUUU